AUUGAACGCUGGAGGCAUGCUUAACACAUGCAAGUCGAACGGCAGCAUGAUGUGUAGCAAUACACAUUGAUGGCGAGUGGCGGACGGGUGAGUAACGCGUAGGAAUCUGCCUUGAAGAGGGGGACAACCCGAGGAAACUCGGGCUAAUACCGCAUAAUAUCGAGAGAUUAAAGUCUGGGUGGUAACACCUGGAGCUUCAAGAGGAGCCUGCGUCCGAUUAGCUAGUUGGUGGGGUAAAGGCCUACCAAGGCGAUGAUCGGUAACUGGUCUGAGAGGAUGACCAGUCACACUGGGACUGAGACACGGCCCAGACUCCUACGGGAGGCAGCAGUGGGGAAUCUUGGACAAUGGGGCCAACCCUGAUCCAGCGAUGCCGCGUGUGUGAAGAAGGCCUC
rnacentral:rRNA from 1 species